CUGCUCUAUCUACCCACAGCUACCACGCUGUACGCCGGCACACAGACCUAAUGCACCGAAACGCAGCACAAAUAUUUCUCCGUUGUUGGAAUAGCAUCUGCACUGGAACUUUCUGACAAGAGCAGAGUUCACCUGAGGACAUGGAUCACUGUGGGGAGGUGGGGGCUGUGAUUUACAGAUAGCACCUCAUCUCCUCUGCUGGCAGGCCAUCAUUACGACGAGCACUGGGAGAUGGGUGCUGUGGGCAAAAAGACCUUUUGGAAAAUGUCAGCAACAGUCAGAGCCCUAAAUUUCCUCCAUUCAGUCUUUCCCCUGUGAUACUUCCCACUGAAUUAUUAUUAUUAUUAUUAUUAUUAUUA